rnacentral:lncRNA from 13 species
UGAACAUGGUACAAGAUGUUCUGAAGGAACAACUCUUGCUGCUGCUAAAAACACAGCACACCACUCCCAAAAGCUGCAUCCUGUACAGUUUGAAUGUUACAAAUGCAUCCGCUAUUUGAAAAGCAAGCCCAGGAAACAACUGACAAACCAAACAAAUCUGAGAGGCUCAGCAUACACAUUUUUCUCUUCUAGAAGCUCCAAAGUGCUAAUACACCAUUUACAUUUAAAUCUGGUGACAUUCAAAUGUAGAAAGCCAAUGAAAGGGACAGAGGUGGGAGCUCUACGUCUAGGCCAACUGCCCACGAUCACAGAGCUAGCAGUUAAAGAAGCUGGAAGGUAAACUCACAGUCUGGUUCCAGAGUCUGACCUCCUGACCCCUGCAGUCUGCUGCUCCUUGGAAAUGCACAGACUCAAUACACAUCAAGCAUCCCUCCUCCAUCUUGGAGCUCUGGCCCCUGGGAGUCAGGAUCCCCAGCAUCACUACAGCAAGGGAAGAAAGAGACAGAACCAGCUCAUCUAUUGCCUCUACCCAGAAGUGACCCACAUCAAUACUGCUCCUAUGCCACGGGCUAGAACUAGUCACAUGAACCAAUUUAAUUCCAAGGUUACUACCAAGCCCUAUUGUAGUGGAUGCUAUGGAGUCACCAAGCUUCCUCCUCCAGGAUGGCACUGUUUCCUCAGCUGUCAGGAGUGCUGCCUGCUGACUACUCACAGCUGAGUGAGGAAUGAGCCUUAAUGCAAUGAAGAUGCCUCACCUAGAUGCACAAAGUUAUGCACUCUCCCUGUGGGUGGAUUGCACCCAAUGGCCAGUUGAUGUGGGGGUGCAGAGGACUGUCAGCUGGGCUCAAUUCAAUCACUCGAAAGGGUCAUCCCUGCUCUAAAGCACCAUGAGGGUAGAGCUGAAGCUUUUGCUGCAACUGCCUUGCAGUUCAACUUCUCCCUCUACCUGUUCCUGCUGCGCUUCCUCCCUCAAAGACACUGUUGAGGCUUCUGCAUGCAAAUCUCUGCCUCACAGUCUGUUUCCCAGGGAACCCAAUCCAAACCCUUCCAUUUAAUCUGCUAUAAUAGUUAAUAAAGGAAUUUACAAUGUCUCCCA